UGUAAUGAACAGAAAGUCCGGGAAAAAGUGCAAUUUAUUAUUUUGGGUCAACGGUCAAUGGGUUGAACCGGUCAACGCUCGUCAACGCCGGUCCGGUGGUCAACCCCGGCUUGGCUCGGUCAAUGGGUCAACGGCUCUGUUCAACCCGCCUCGCUCGGCUCAUUGGUCCAACUGUCUCGGAUUGACCGAUCACAGCGUACUGGUCAACGCGAAGGUUGACUUAUCAAUGGCUUCAAUCGGCUGGGCUAUCCUCAAUCAAUUUUCCCAAAUCCCAGAAUCAUGAUUGUCCCAACAUCAUGAUGCCCUUUAGGCUUUUCUUUUUUCCUUUUUUUUUUCUUUUUCAAAAGCUUAAAUGAGUGGGCUCUCCCAUGAAUUUUCUCUAACGGAAAUGCAAGGCGCGGGGCGCGUGCGGGCGUGGGGGCGCUUGGAAAGGCACUCGUCUUCUUCCUCUGGCGCGCGUGGGGUGCGUGGAUCUGACGCGCCGAAUUUGAAGUCGGGGGCCCGGCCCCGCGUGAGGGGCUCGUUUGGAGUCCGAUUUUGACUCCGUGUUGGUGGCUGGAGCUUCGCCUCGACGAGACUAAUCUGGUGGUAUGUCAAAUCCAUUUUUGAGCACUUCGGAUUUGGGCAGAAUUCGAAAUCGGCUCCGUUCCCCGCCGAAUCGCUCCGGUGGACUCUCCGGUAACUCGAACUUGGCUCUGAUCCAAUUGUUGUGCCAAGGACUGCCACCAGUCAUCAUUCUAACCAUAUCAACCACACACAUGAGACACAGAUAUCGUGGUCGGCCAAUUUGCCUACAUCCACGGAGAGAACAAAUAUUCACUUCUCAGGAAUGAAUAGGGAGGAGCUCAUCUCCACUCACCUCUCAUUGCACUCUCUCAUCUCCACCACUCACUGUCUCUCUCAGAUCUCACAACACCAAUUCUAGCCCUCUCAUUCAGAUCUAUCAGUGCUCUCUGUGCUCUCACUAGCACCAUAGCACUCCCCUAAGACCCUCUCUAUCAGCCCCCUCUGCACACAGCAACAUGCUGUUGUGCUCCCGGUAAUCCCCCCAAGGAUUACAUUUCUCUGACAACCCUGCCUCCCUCUCUCUCUGGCAACUCUCCUGUAUUUAUAGGCAUAGAGAAUAGACGAUUGAGAUCAUGUGAGCUCAAUAUGCCCCCACCUUUGACAAUCUUCAGCAGCUUUCUUCAGCUUUCUUCUAUCUCUGCCCUCUUUUCUUUCCGCCCAAUCAGAGACUUUGUCUCUGACAGAAUAAAAAAAUGGAUAGGCUGCUUCUGGAAGAGGAAUGAAGUAAGGAAUUGGCAAGGCUGGGCCUUGGGGCUUGAUGGGCUGAUGGGCUUUUGCUUUGGGUUUGGGCUUCUAAAUGGUUGGGCAUCCAAUUGGGCUUCCUUCAUGGGCUGGGGGCUGGAACCAAACAAACACAACACCCUGGGCCCCCAAACCACACCACCACACUUUACACAAAGCAACUUUGUUUCCCAUAUAAUUAGCAUUCGUUUUGAAGAAAUACAACAGAAAUUAUCGAGUAAAAUAGAUUACACAAACAUACACGAACGGACCCGAACAAAAGACUUAUGAACAAACCCAACUUAUUCAAGACACAAUAAUAAAGACCAAAAUCCACAUACAGAAGAACAAGGAGACAGAAAUUGAGUGCAGUUGUGAAAUAGUAUAAAGGGUCCUUCAGGAAGCCUGUGAACCAGUUUGGUGCUGGCCGAACUGCUGCUCCGCCUUGUCCUUCAUCUCCCGUGCCUUCAUCCCCAGCUUCAUCCUCGCCUGAUCCAGCUGCUCCGACCCCGGAGGCUGCUUCCCCGUCAAAUACCUGAAGGGACCCAUCAAGAAUUUUAACUUCAUAAAUGCAAUGCAAAAGUAUAUGGAACGCAUAGCUAAUUAAGAAAAUCUAUGGAGAGCAAUCUCUCUCUCUCUUAAUUUUCACACCAAAUCAGUCCAAUUUAAUUAGUCCCAUUGCUAACCGAUGUUAUGUUUUUGCAUAAAUUUGCACACUUUCCCGGACAUGUACCAUCAUCCGAGUCCCCAUCCUCACCCAAUUCCCACUGCAAAUUGCCUCAAAUGAGGUCACAAAUUGGGAACGUUCUAUAAAUCUGGCAAAAAAACUAAUUUUCAUUACCAAUUGGACAGAUCAGUCAAUAUCAAAAUAAAGGGUUAAAAUUGUGGAAUUUUAAAACGUAGGGACCAUUUAUCCAAUUUCCCCAUGUUUUUAAUAGGAAAAUACUACACCAAACUAAUCAUGUUCUUAAUCACACUUAAAAAGCAAUAAUAAAACCUCAAAGCUUGAAAUUAGACCCAUGAUAGGAUAAGCAACUGAGUCUGAGCAGAAAAUGUUGUGAGAAUUAUUAUUAUAUAUCUUUAACAUUAAUCUUCUUAAGAUUACGAGUGUUUGUAUAAAAAUAUUUUAAAAUGCGGUCGCCCCUAUACAUGCCCACCUAUACAUCCACGAGAACCCAGGGAGGGGGGGGGGACGCGUCCCUGUCCUCCACCC
rnacentral:lncRNA from 1 species